rnacentral:lncRNA from 1 species
AAACCACCCAUAAAGCAAGGCAUUAUCAACGGGCUGUGAGUGUGGCCAGCAUUGACUUUGGCAGUAGAGGUCUGGAUUUGCUAAGCCUCACGGGACUCAGGAGGCAACUUGAAGAGGCUUCUACUAGAAUGGUUUUGGCAUUAUCAAGGAUAAUUGGCACAGACUGAAAUACAUCAAAUAUGCUAAAAUCCAUGAGUUCAGAAUGACGUCAAACAAAUAGAAAAACAAUGACGGCCAACAACAAGAAAAAAAACAAAUG